UACGUAGGGUGCGAGCGUUAUCCGGAAUCACUGGGCGUAAAGGGCGCGUAGGUGGUGGCUUAAGCGUGCGGUGAAAGCUCGGGGCUCAACUCCGAGUCGGCCGUGCGAACUGGGCUCACUGGAGCAUAGUAGAGGCAGGUGGAAUUCCGGGUGUAGCGGUGGAAUGCGUAGAGAUCCGGAAGAACACCGGUGGCGAAGGCGGCCUGCUGGGCUAUGGCUGACACUGAGGCGCGACAGCGUGGGGAGCAAACAGG
rnacentral:rRNA from 1 species